rnacentral:rRNA from 1 species
GACGAACGCUGGCGGCGUGCUUAACACAUGCAAGUCGAGCGGUAAGGCCCUUUCGGGGGUACACGAGCGGCGAACGGGUGAGUAACACGUGAGCAACCUGCCCUUCUCUUUGGAAUAAGCGUUGGAAACGACGUCUAAUGCCGAAUAUGACCCCCUGUCGCAUGGUGGGGGGUGGAAAGCUCUGGCGGAGAAGGAUGGGCUCGCGGCCUAUCAGCUUGUUGGUGUGGGUAAUGGCCCACCAAGGCGACGACGGGUAGCCGGCCUGAGAGGGUGACCGGCCACACUGGGACUGAGACACGGCCCAGACUCCUACUGGAGGCAGCAGUGGGGAAUAUUGGACAAUGGGCGAAAGCCUGAUCCAGCAACGCCGCGUGAGGGAUGACGGCCUUCGGGUUGUAAACCUCUUUCAGCAGGGACGAAGCGAGAGUGACGGUACCUGCAGAAGAAGGACCGGCCAACUACGUGCCAGCCGCCGCGGUAA